UAGCCGUAAACGAUACUCGCUAGGUGUCGGCCACGGUGCGACCGUUGUCGGUGCCGUAGGGAAGCCGUGAAGCGAGCCACCUGGGAAGUACGGCCGCAAGGCUGAAACUUAAAGGAAUUGGCGGGGGGAGCACCACAACGGAUGGAGCUUGCGGUUUAAUUGGAUUCAACGCCGGAAAUCUUACCGGGACCGACAGCAACAUGAAGGCCAGGCUGAAGACUUUGCCGGAUUAGCUGAGAGGUGGUGCAUGGCGUAGUCGUGU
rnacentral:rRNA from 1 species